AGAAUGAACGCUGGCGGCGUGCUUAACACAUGCAAGUCGAACGGAAUACAAGGAGCUUGCUCCGAACUAUUUAGUGGCGAACGGGUGAGUAUCACGUGAGCAACCUGCCCCGAAGACUGGGAUAACACCGGGAAACCGGUGCUAAUACCGGAUGUCUUUCAAUGAUCGCAUGAUCGAUGAAAGAAAUGUUUUUUCGCUUUGGGAGGGGCUCGCGGUCCAUCAGCUUGUUGGCGGGUAACGGCCCACCAAGGCUACGACGGAUAGCUGGUCUGAGAGGACGAUCAGCCACACUGGAACUGAGACACGGUCCAGACUCCUACGGGAGGCAGCAGUGGGGAAUCUUGCGCAAAUGGACGAAAAGUCUGACGCAGCAACGCCGCGUGAGGGACGAAGGCUUUCUGAGUUGUAAACCUCUUUACGACAGGAACGAUUGUGACGGUACCUGUAGAAGAAGCACCGGCCAACUAUGUGCCAGCAGCCGCGGU
rnacentral:rRNA from 1 species